UAAUAAGUGUUUUAUGGCACUUUUUAAAUCCAUAUCCACCUUGUGUGCAAUGUCAGUCGAUCUUCUUCAUGGAGAUCGACCAAACAUCAACCUUUAUCUUUUAACUCUUUGUCUGAAAACUAUUAUGAAUAAACUAAUUCAAAAUA
rnacentral:misc_RNA from 1 species